CGCGAGUGCUCGUUUCGGUGGAUCUAGAAGCAUCUCCUCCAGUUCGGGAAAUUGCUUUCGUCGCGCUAUGUCUAAUGCGGAUUCACCCUAAAAUUCUUAUCGUAUAACAAACCUGCUCAUUCUUGGCGUGAACCGCGGCUCCAGCCUCGAGUAAAAUCUUCGUCAACUUUCUUUUGCGCAUUGCAACAGAUAUAUGUAACGCUGUGUCACCAUUCUACAAGGCAUGGAAAUAAACAGACCGCCUGGCUUUCUUUCUGCUCAACUUCGAUGCAAGCACUCAGGUGCGCAGACCUCCCGUUGCAGAUCAUUUUGCGAAGAACAGACUAGACGACAAAUUAUCAUUUCGGGUAAAGCGCUUUCUCAGUACGACGUUUAUUUUGCCUGGAAACGCCACGAAGUGGCCUAUAUGCUAC